AGGAGCCAGAGAUCUCGGAGCGCCAGCUUCGAAGGAGGCGUCGGUGGGAUACUACCCUGGUUGUAUUGAAAUUCUAACCCAUGCCCCUUAGCGGGGCAGGAGACAGUGUCAGGCGGACAGUUUGACGGGGGCGGUCGCCUCCUAAAAGGUAACGGAGGCGCCCAAAGGUUCCCUCAGAAUGGUUGGAAAUCAUUCGUAGAGUGUAAAGGCACAAGGGAGCUUGACUGCGAGACCUACAAGUCGAGCAGGGUCGAAAGACGGGCUUAGUGAUCCGGUGGUUCCGCAUGGAAGGGCCAUCGCUCAACGGAUAAAAGCUAC
rnacentral:rRNA from 1 species